rnacentral:rRNA from 1 species
UACGUAGGGUGCGAGCGUUAAUCGGAAUUACUGGGCGUAAAGCGUGCGCAGGCGGUUUGGUAAGACAGAUGUGAAAUCCCCGGGCUUAACCUGGGAACUGCAUUUGUGACUGCCAGACUAGAGUGUAGCAGAGGGGGGUAGAAUUCCACGUGUAGCAGUGAAAUGCGUAGAGAUGUGGAGGAAUACCGAUGGCGAAGGCAGCCCCCUGGGCUAACACUGACGCUCAUGCACGAAAGCGUGGGGAGCAAACAGG